rnacentral:rRNA from 1 species
UUGGAGGGCAAGUCUGGUGCCAGCAGCCGCGGUAAUUCCAGCUCCAAUAGCGUAUAUUAAAGUUGUUGCAGUUAAAACGCUCGUAGUUGAAAGUCUGCUUAUGACAACGGGUCAUCUCCUUCGGAUAUGUACUUGUUGUCACUGGCAUUAUUACGAUGCAUUCAGCGGUUUUCCGUUGUGUGUGUUCGUAAACGUUACUUUGAGAAAAAUUAGAGUGUUUCAAGCAGGCGUAACGCCUUGAAUACUUCAGCAUGGAAUAACAA